ACAUUAAUGUUAAAUAAAUAACAAAUUUAACUAUAAAAUACACACACACAAAUAAAAACCAAAACCAAAACCAAAACAAAAAUAUAAAUAACUGGAGUUUAAGGAUAUCUAUACCUGGCUGUGGCCCCGACGCAUCAGUGGAUGUGGUGUCGGUAGUGCUGGCGGGCCGAUGACGCCGUCUGGCGCUAACAGGCUGUGCCACUGAUGAAGCUGAUGAAGCAGGCGCCUGGGACCCCGCGGGACCAACUGCCAAGUGGUCCAUCAGUGCUAGCGUAGUGGCAGCAGAUGUCGGGUGAGCCGAGGGCUCCGAACUCUGCGUAGUCGUCACCGCCCUACGACGUCUAAUCAGGUCUGACAUCUG
rnacentral:lncRNA from 1 species